GGAAAGUUAAAGAAAUAGAAGUCACCGCCAGACCCGGCUAAAUGCUAAGUCGCGUUUGGUCUCCUUAUCGCUUUGCAGCUUGGUGCAUGCGGUGUUUUCUGGAUCCUCUCUGAAGAUCAGCAACCGCAGCUACGGACGCAGAUGUACGGCUAGCCAGAGCAACCCUGCCAAGGAGAACGGGACACGUCGCGUCCAGUUGCUGGGACUGGACCCACAGCUCCGUGCAUCCCCAUCCCAGUAUAUCUUCUACUCUCUGAGCCCUGGUCUGCUUAUUUUGCAGUUUGACCCUCUGGUUCAUCCCCCCGUGCUUGACUCUCCACGUUGCUCAACCAGCACAACCCAGGGACCUUUCUCCAUCUCUGCAAGACACUAGUUGUCGACACAGGACAACAGCUAAGGCACAGAGACCCUGUGAGAGGAAACAUGAGACUCGGGAUCGUAGCGCCCCCCGGAGGUCAUCGACCGGCGUGUCCCGGCAUUGACAGCAGCCCUGGAGGGUCCAUGCAGG